CGAACACGAUGUUUGCAAAGUUCAUCUAUGCUGUGGCGUGAUUAGCUCUCCAUUUCUUUUUGUUGAUGAAUAGCGUUCCACGGUGUGGAUAUCCAUGUUUAUCUGCUUGUCAGCCAAUAGACCUCUGGGCUGUCCCCACCUCUUGUCUAGGCUGAACCGCUGUCUUUCUGGAAAGAAUCUUCCCCGCCUGCCCUCCUAGUGGGUUGGUGGCUUUAAGUGAGGGCAGCACGGAUGGCAGAGAGCCCAAGCACUCCUAGCUUCUAAGACAGGCCAAUGGCAAUCACUUCCCCAACCUGCAAUUUUGGCUCAGGCCAGGGAGGGGCGCGGCCUGGGCCCUGGAGCCAGACCACCGGGGCAGCCAGAGGGGGAGGACUGGUGAGUUCAGAAGCAGGAAAAACAGAUGUCACAGCCCUCUCCUCCACAAAACCCGUCUCCACAGUCAGCACUGUUGCCCCAAGGAACAUUGUGUUGUGACCUGGAUCACAAGACAGGAGUUCUGGUUCUCUUUGAAUUCUGAGCACCUAAGCAGCAGAAAUUCCUGGAUGGGUUGGGAAGAGGGGGAAGAUGUUCCCCCCACCCCAGAGAUGUUAGUGCCUGCCAGGGACAAACUAUCCCAGACAGAGAGCCCCUGGCGGGGCAGCCCGACCCAGUACCCUUGGGCCUUGAGGCUCAUUUGGAAUUGGCAGCUGGCGUCCCAGAGGGGCUCUGGCCCCCACAUGGGAUCUGUGUGUGUGCCUGGAGCCUGUGGUGAGCGGGAAUUAGAGUGACCCAUGUCGCCACUGUGACCCAUGUCGCCGGCGGGGCUUGCUGUGCUCAGCAGCGGGGGUGGCCAGGCAGGCUGUUUCUGGAAAAAAUCACCCUGCUCAUUACAGGCUUCGGGUGGGCUCCCAAGGGUCAAGUUGGGUUUGUUUGCCUGUCUUGGGAGUCGAGGAAACUGUGGCCCUUUUGCUGCUGGUUCAGCAGAAGCAAGGCUCCAAGAUGGUGUCGAUGUGCUGCCAAGGACAGUAGCAGAUGGCAACCUAGGGUUGAGAAGGAAGAGGGUGUGGACUGAGAAUGUGGGCUGGAGAAGGUCAGAGGGUCUCCUACAAAACACAGAGGGACCCACCUAGCUGACAUGUUGUAACAGCACAACGGGUGCCGGGUACACCGAGCAAGCAUGGUGGCUGGUUUUGUCUCUUUCUAUGCAGGGAAAGUGGAGACUCAGAGUGUUUAAGUGACCUGCCUAAGGCACGGAGCUGGCAGCAGAGGUUGGCCCACACCCCAGCUUCCGACUGUCGCUCUCUUCUACAGGUUCAUCGUUAAUAAAACUUGGUUUUCCAGCAUUUCGCUGCCCCAGGAGGGCAGUGGGCCCCCUGUCCAAUUCAUCAACUGCCUAAUGAGCGGCCCCGGAGGUCCCGGCCCGUCCAUUCCAGAAGCUCUCUCUGCCUUGUAAAGAGAAGGACCAGUACAAGGGGAAGUGGGUGCUGCUAGUGUUCUGGCCCAGGGUCUGGAUUCUGUCCUCUUCUGGAACAAUUUUUGUCGCCUCCCCCCGCACCACCCCCCAGCAGGCUCUCUUGCCUUCGCCAGCUUGUCAGGACGCUGCCAGCUUUGGGCGUGGCACCCCGUCAGCCCCAGCAUGGUGGGAGAGCUGGGAUCUGAGCCCACGAGCUCGGGGACACAGCCGCCCACCUCGAGCCCAGAAGAGCAGGAGCGCAGAGGGGCGGUUAUGCUUACGGUGCCUGCAGGACAAGACAAAGUGGAAAGCUGCUCUUUGUCACCCACCCGGCCCCGAUGGCAGCUAACAGACCUCAUCCACACAAUUGGCUGGGACUCGACUCCCUUGUAACACCAGGUCCCUCUUCUGCAGUCUCUGUGCACUCGUGGAGGAGCAGUGUGGAGGGUCUCUGAGGCCAGGGGGAGCACCAGCAUCAGCCAGCACCUCCGUUCUUCGACAGAGGGAAGACGCGAUUGCGUGGCUCUCAGCAGUGACAUCAGAGUGUCCACGUGCCCCCGACCGUGUGCCCCAGCUGUAUGCAUCCUCCUGGUUCCUGUCAGGCAUGUGUUGGGGGCUCAGAGUCCACAUACGGACGACCACAGCAACCACAGCAGCUGUUCUGACGGGGCUUGGAGGGAGUGGGCCCCGCUCACGCCCACCCCUUGAAGCCCCUCAACCUAGGGCCGGGCUUUCUCAGUUUCCCGUUGCUUUUCCAGGUACUCAGAGCAUGGCUCUGGUGCAGGAUUUCUCCUGGAAAGGGGCCGCUGCUGUCGCCGGGCACUCGAGGUCUCCUGAAAUACACUUUGAAGGGUUUUUGUCUUGUUUUGUUUUCCCCACUCGACACCCUUGAAUGAAGUAGGCUGUUGGCCUUCCCACAGAAGGAUUUCCCAUUAUCCUGUGCACUUGCAAGGGGCAAAAGCCCAGCAAGCAGAGGUAGCAUACGGGGUUCUCAUCACGCGUUCCUUCUGGUCUCAACUGCCCCCAAAAUGCUGCAGCUUUUGCCCCUUCUCAGUAACUAAUCCCCCACUGCAUUCCCCACCCCCUUGGACCAGCCCACCCCAAGCUGCUCACAUUGAAAGGAGCAUUCAUGCUUGGGCCAUCUGUUUGUUUAAACUCACCCCAUGCGAGGCCAUGUUAAAUGCAACAGAAUGGAGAAAAAUGUAAUUCUCUGUCGGCUUUUGAUCAAAGCGAGGACUUUUAAAAAAAUUCAAGAUGGAUUUCUGAAGGACAAUGUGGUACACAUUCCUUGUGUUUCUGAGCUGCGGUGUUUAGUUGAUUUGGGGAAAAAAAAUCCCCCCCCCCCCGCCUUUUGAUCCCAUGGAGAAAACACUCUCACAAACACAUCUCAGCCCCACAAACAUUGCAAGACGGCGGGAGGGUGGAAGGGUACGGCCUUCUCAUUUAUCAACAACACAGGAGAAUUCGGAAUACGACUCACUGCAACAUGCAAGCCCUCUCCUUCUGUGGGAAUUCAAGGCGACAUCCCUGCCACCUCAGGACCCAGGAUGCUUGCCCCGCACCCAGAAACACACGUCUUGGCUCACCCCUCCAGCUCUGUCGCCACCAACCAUUAAGAGUACAUUUCUCCCUGGCUCCUUCAGCCUCCCAGCAAAUGCAAAUAAAAAGUGCUUAAAAUGGUUAACAUUUCCUGUCACUGAAGGCAUUCGUGAGGGGUGGGGGUCGCUGAGUUUUAAGUGUAUUUUCAUAGGAAAACUCAUUUCAGAUCUGCAGCAGGGACUCGGACAACUCGCACAGAGUCUCAGGGUCUGCAGGGAGCCCGAACACUGAGUCGGCCGAUGGUCCUCCACAUUAUGUGGGUACAGGAGAGCGGGUACCCAGGUUCACACUUAGGCCCGCCCGGGGCCCCUCUCCGGUCUCACAGGGAAAAAUAAAAUAGGCUCUUUCCCACCAUCCUCCCGGUUAUUCAUUUUCUUUUCCUCUAUUGGAGAGAAAAAAACCCCCCCAAAUUUGGCAAUUUAUUUUGUUGUGUUUCCUCUAUUGAUUGUUUAGCUAGUGAUUUUGCCAACUUCCUGGAUGUUCAUUUCUGGUCCUGCACAAAAGAGCCACAUUUCCUUUUGGAACUGGGACCAGGAGACAGAGCAGCAGGCACUGGAAAUUGUGAGUACUCCCCAACUUUCUUCCAGCUUCGCUCUGACCCUGUCUGUCCGUCUGGCCUGCCUCCCGAAUCUUUCUCUAACCAGUUAACUUUCUGUGUGGCUCCCUGCGAACCCCUCCGUCAGCCCAUAGCAGCACUCUGACUUUCAGGAAGGGAGCCCCUACCAUGUCUGUAGGAACCUCGGAUGGGAAGGGGAGGGGAGUGUGCUUACCAACGGAGGACUUCAGUUCUCAUUUUAAGGCUCCGAAAGAUGGUGAAAGCCAACAGAAGCAGGCUGGUUUAUUUCAGGGCGAACAGUGAGUCCCUACUGAAUUUACCUCAUAAAAUGAAUUUUUAAAUUUUCAUUUUCUCAUUUCAUUCCAGCAGAAAAUGAGUUUGCCUUUAUAAUGUCCAGAUCUUUCGAACUCUAUGGAGUGAGAAAUUAAGUUACAAAAUGUAAAUACCUUGGUUAUACCCCCAUAUAUAUAUAUGAAAUGAAUAUAUAUAUGAAAUGAAGUAAUUCCUGACUGUAAUGCAAUAGCAAGCCUGAUUUUAGGCUCCUAGGACACUUUAAAAAAUUUUAUGACGUGUAAUAAAGAAAAAUUAGGUUUGGUAAAAAUGUUUCUUUUUAAAAAUGGGUGCAAUAAUAAAUUCAAUUGUAUUUCUCAUUUAACAUAAAUUGUUUAUUUUUUAAAAUCUUCUGAACGUCUUUGUCUAAUGUUGGGAGGACUGUAAAAAAAAUGUUAAUAUUCUAGGCCACAAUUGACUUCUUUCCAUGAAACUAUUCUAAUGCGUGUGGACAAUUGUAAAGCAAUGCAGUUCUCUUGUGAAAGGAAUACCCUGCCUUUAAUUAAAAGCAAUUAAUGCUCAAAUUUCAAGGCAAAUCCACUGAUCAGUUAGGGGCAUGGAGAAGGAGAAAAGCAAGCCUGCUAUUUCCAUAAGAAAGUCCAGAAAUCAACAUCGUACAGAUGUACAAUCGGAACGUGAUUAUAUUUAAAGGAAAAGUUAUAUAAGCUUCAAAAAUGGUCGUUGUUUUGCUUAAGUGCCUGAAAAAAGGAUUCAGAAUAAUAUUUGGAUUAUCCCAGUUUUGUGCUCUUGUGUUCAUGGAGCCUUGUCAGGUUAAAGAACCCCAAUGACAAGGGGGGCACGAGUAUGCAUAUGUAUGUCUCCCCUAUGUCCCCAACUUGGGGAAGUGUGGGGAGGGAAAGGUGGGUGCUGACCACUGGAAAAGUAAACCUUCACCCCAGAAAUUCAUAAUUAAUCUAAAACUCUCAGAUUAAACAUAGCAAUGCUCUCAUCUUCCUUCACCUCCUCAAUUUGGGGGUUGCAGCGCAGGGCGAUGGGCUAGAGAAUUUUUGAAAUUGCUGCAGACCAGAGGUGUGCCGAAAGGCUGCGGCGCUGUCCUGUGCGUCUGCCUAGAGUAUCCUGUCCUCAUCCUCCUGGCCGUGGGGCUAUGGCGCUGCGCGACUUCGACAUAUUUUGCAAGCUUUCUAGUUGGGAUUGCUGGAGCAGAAAGCUUGGCGGCCUUACACAGCUUCCCUUGCUGCCCAGCAGAUGGCGAUGUUACUUCUGGAGUGGCCCGCAGGGGUGGGGGUGGGGAAAAAGCUGAGGUUCAGCCCGAAAUCAGGGCAGGUCCCUGGUCAGGUCCCCCUUCCCUUCUCCCGGAGCCCGACCAGCCAGUGAUGAACGUAAGAAAUAAAAAGUUUUUGAGGCCUCACUUGCAACGUGCCAAGCAGUCAAAGAGUAUUUGAGGUAUUUAAGCCACAUGUUAAUUAGCAAAAGCCUCGGCCUCCUGAAAUGGUCUAAGACAGUGCUCAGCCUACGUUCAGAGAACUAUUUCCUGGAAACGUUCAAGAUAAAAAUGGAAGAAGCUUAGCAGCUAUCUCAAAAUCAGAUCUAUCGCCUGUUUAUGUUUUAGGGGAAAAAAUGAUACCCUUAACGAUACUCCUGUAAUAUUCACAAGAAGUGUACGUGCCAUAACAUUGUGAGGAAUUUUAUAUGCGUGCAAAUGGACAAGUAAAAUCAGGCAUGUACCGUUGGUGAUACAGGUCAGAGUCUCACCUUCUCAAAAAAGGCUUUCCAUUUGAUGUGAGGAAUACGUGCGGGAAUAUCCACCCUGGACUGUGGGUUUUCCGCUAUCAGCACCUGCUGAAAUGGUGCUACCAGAUUCUUAGAGCUUCUCAACCUCCUCUUCCAUCUCAGGCUGGCCGGCUACUCUUCUUCCACAGAGAAAAGUUUCCACUUUAGUUCAAGAACAAACAAACAUUUUUCUGUCACCAUCUCCUGCUAGAGAGAAUCCCUAAACCUGACAAGCACAUUUUCCAACAUAUGUAAUGUGAAAAUUAAAAUGAAGACAAUUUUGGAUGGUUUCGGUGUUUUGGUUCUUCACGGGAUAGCCUGAUUCCUUAGUUUGUUUUAGGUAAUAAUUUGCACAUUGUUUAAUUUGAAAAGAAAUAGCGGGCACAUUGACACCUACUUGAAACAAAUUGUAACUUAACAGCAUCAACAGGAGAGCUUAUUUCUUUUCCUAAAAAUGAUGUUAUCAUUUGUGUUUGAAAAAUAAAAAGAUGGCAAGGGAAUUCAUUGGACUCCUAGUGUGAAACGCUGUUUAAGGCAUAGAAGUAUGUUCAUUUAGGGUAGUAUGACACCUUCAUCGUGUUACUGGUGGUUAAUCAUGUAUUGUUCUUUAAAAAUUUAAUUGAAUGACAUGCCGGGUUGGUUUUUUUUUUUUUUUAACCUGUAUAUAUUUACAAACUGUGCAAGUUACCCACUGCUUGUAAGUCUAUGUAUUAAUACGAUGAUCGUGCAAGAAAUCCAGCUGUUUAAAUAAAUUCUGUUCUGCUUUAAAGAUUUUGCCCUUUGGGAAGAAAGUCAUUUAAGUAUUAAGUGACAGUGGCCAGCUAACAAUAGUUAAAAUGAAAAUAAAUCUUCCUGAAACUUAGUUCUAAUUUUCUUGAGCAAAAUACCAACCAUAAAAAAUAAACUCUGUUUAUCGAGCCA